rnacentral:rRNA from 1 species
CCGGCACGGGUGAGUAACACGUAUCCAACCUGCCGUCUACUCUUGGACAGCCUUCUGAAAGGAAGAUUAAUACAAGAUGGCAUCAUGAGUCCGCAUGUUCGCAUGAUUAAAGGUAUUCCGGUAGACGAUGGGGAUGCGUUCCAUUAGAUAGUAGGCGGGGUAACGGCCCACCUAGUCUUCGAUGGAUAGGGGUUCUGAGAGGAAGGUCCCCCACAUUGGAACUGAGACACGGUCCAA